GGGGAUGUAGCUCAGUUGGCAGAGCACCUCGUUCGCAACGAGGGGGUCGCCAGUUCGACUCUGGUCAUCUCCACCA
rnacentral:tRNA from 1 species